rnacentral:rRNA from 1 species
AAGCCUACGGGGGGCAGCAGUAGGGAAUCUUCCACAAUGGGCGCAAGCCUGACCCAGCAACGCCGCGUGAAGGAAGAAGGCUUUCGGGUUGUAAACUUCUUUUAUGAGGGACGAAAGAAAUGACGGUACCUCAUGAAUAAGCCACGGCUAACUACGUGCCAGCAGCCGCGGUAAUACGUAGGUGGCAAGCGUUAUCCGGAUUUACUGGGUGUAAAGGGCGUGUAGGCGAGACUGCAAGUCAGAUGUGAAAAUUAUGGGCUCAACCCAUAACCUGCAUUUGAAACUGUAGUUCUUGAGUGAUGGAG